UACGAAGGGGGCUAGCGUUGCUCGGAAUUACUGGGCGUAAAGCGCACGUAGGCGGCUCCUUAAGUCGGGGGUGAAAUCCUGGAGCUCAACUCCAGAACUGCCUUCGAUACUGAAGAGCUCGAGUCCGGGAGAGGUGAGUGGAACUGCGAGUGUAGAGGUGAAAUUCGUAGAUAUUCGCAAGAACACCAGUGGCGAAGGCGGCUCACUGGCCCGGUACUGACGCUGAGGUGCGAAAGCGUGGGGAUCAAACAGG
rnacentral:rRNA from 1 species